GGGGUUAUCAGGAAACACAAUGUUAGGAGUCAGUCAUGUUGUCACCACAAGUGUUGGGAUGUGUGAUAUUGAUAUCAGACCAGGUCUCUAUGGCAGUGUAAUAGUGGCAGGAGGAAACACACUAAUACAGAGUUUUACUGACAGGUUGAAUAGAGAGCUGUCUCAGAAAACUCCUCCAAGUAUGCGGUUGAAAUUGAUUGCAAAUAAUACAACAGUGGAACGGAGGUUUAGCUCAUGGAUUGGCG
rnacentral:lncRNA from 1 species